rnacentral:rRNA from 1 species
ACUCAAAUGAAUAGACGGGGGCCCGCACAAGCGGCGGAGCAUGCGGAUUAAUUCGAUGCAACGCGAAGAACCUUACCAAGGCUUGACAUGGACUGGAAAUACCUGGAGACAGGUGCCCCGCUUGCGGCCGGUUCACAGGUGGUGCAUGGUUGUCGUCAGCUCGUGUCGUGAGAUGUUGGGUUAAGUCCCGCAACGAGCGCAACCCUCGUUCUAUGUUGCCAGCGCGUGAUGGCGGGGACUCAUAGGAGACUGCCGGGGUCAACUCGGAGGAAGGUGGGGACGACGUCAAAUCAUCAUGCCCCUUAUGUCUUGGGCUUCACGCAUGCUACAAUGGCCGGUACAAAGGGUUGCGAUACUGUGAGGUGGAGCUAAUCCCAAAAAGCCGGUCUCAGUUCGGAUUGGGGUCUGCAACUCGACCCCAUGAAGUCGGAGUCGCUAGUAAUCGCAGAUCAGCAACGCUGCGGUGAAUACGUUCCCGGGCCUUGCACACACCGCCCGU